rnacentral:tRNA from 2 species
GCGCUGUUAGCUCAGUCGGUAGAGCAAGGGCCUUUUAAGCCCGGGGUCGGAGGUUCAAAUCCUCCACGGCGCACCA